UCGACGGCAGCACGGGUGCUUGCACCUGGUGGCGAGUGGCGAACGGGUGAGUAAUGCGUCGGAACGUACUGAGUAAUGGGGGAUAACGCAGCGAAAGUUGUGCUAAUACCGCAUACGCCCUGAGGGGGAAAGUGGGGGACCGCAAGGCCUCACGUUAUUCGAGCGGCCGACGUCUGAUUAGCUAGUUGGUGGGGUAAAGGCCUACCAAGGCGACGAUCAGUAGCGGGUCUGAGAGGAUGAUCCGCCACACUGGGACUGAGACACGGCCCAGGCUCCUACGGGAGGCAGCAGUGGGGAAUUUUGGACAAUGGGGGCAACCCUGAUCCAGCCAUUCCGCGUGAGUGAAGAAGGCCUUCGGGUUGUAAAGCUCUUUCAGCUGGAACGAAACGGUACGCGCUAACAUCGUGUGCUAAUGACGGUACCGGCAGAAGAAGCACCGGCUAACUACGUGCCAGCAGCCGCGGUAAUACGUAGGGUGCGAGCGUUAAUCGGAAUUACUGGGCGUAAAGCGUGCGCAGGCGGAUUGUUAAGCAAGACGUGAAAUCCCCGGGCUUAACCUGGGAAUGGCGUUUUGAACUGGCAGUCUAGAGUGCGUCAGAGGGGGGUGGAAUUCCACGUGUAGCAGUGAAAUGCGUAGAGAUGUGGAGGAACACCGAUGGCGAAGGCAGCCCCCUGGGAUGACACUGACGCUCAUGUA
rnacentral:rRNA from 1 species